GUUUAUGUUUAUCUUCUAUUAUUAUUAUUUAUUGAUGAAGAGACAUAAAGUGAUGUCUCAUCCACAUUAAUGGCAUCGAGAAUAUUUUAGAAUAUUUCAUAAUUCUAGAAUAUUCUCUCCUAUAUUGUCCAAUAUCAAAAUUUUUCAUAUCGGUACCGAUGGCUGUUUUGGUCGGUCGAUGAUAUGGUACGAUAUGGUUCCAUACCAUAUCGAAUCGAGGCAAAUCGAUGAAGGAAUUCGGAGUCGAACUAGAAGAAAAAAAAGAGAAAGAGAGAGAGAGGGAGGAAGAAAGAGAGAGAGG
rnacentral:lncRNA from 1 species